UGUGGAUUGAGUUGAUAAGUAGGUGAUGUUUGUAUGUGGUAAUGGUUGCAUGUAAAUGAUAUAUUGAUAUCUUGUUUAUGGUUGAAUUGGUUGUAUGAAUAUGCUUAGAUUACUGUAGCUUGUUGUGUAGGUUGGUGCAAGUAAGGGUGGCAAUAUGGCUUGGUAAUUAGGCUUAUUUUUCCCACACGGGUAGACACACGGGCGUGUGUCUAGGCCGUGUGUGACACACAGCUUGUCCAAUGGGUGUGUGAUCCGGC
rnacentral:lncRNA from 1 species